rnacentral:lncRNA from 1 species
UCAUUCUUUUUUGUUGCUGUUGUUUCAGAUGUUGCCUUUUGUUUUCCUGGUGACUUUUCUGGAUUAAUGUUGCAAAAUUUAUGUUCCUUGUUGCAGGUGACCAGCGAAUGUCCUGCUUGGUUCCUUUGGUGUUCAACUAGUGCUGGACAGAGUUGUCCCUGAAUGCUCUGAGCCAGCGUGGCUUCCAAGGCGGCGCGGAGGGGAUCUAACCACACUGAGGCACUUACAUUUCCAGCUGUGAUUGAGCCUUCACUUCCUGCUUGGGCGGAGGUUCAAGGUCAACCUAGGGGUCAAGGUGCAGUGCCUUCUACCUUUUCUGAACCAGCACACAGGAACAUAUACGAUUCUUCAAAACUCACCACGGACCUCCCAUUUCUGAAGUUUUAUUUAUUUAUUUUUUAAGCUUUUGUCAGCAUCUGGUUAGUUCCCACUUGUUAACACUGCCGCAGGAAGCUGCAAGAUUAAACAGCUGCUGCUGACUGUUUUUAGCAACUUACCCAGAGUCAGGGUCAUUCACCUAGAUGGAGGUCUGGGCUGGGUGAAAUAAAGGGAGUUUUUCAGUGAACCGGCACACAGGUCAAAUAGUGACAGGCCUCCAGGGGUAAGGCUGUAUGGGCAUCCCACUGUGUUCUGCCUCCUGCAAGGCUGCUGGUUUUCAAGGAAUGGGUGGCAUUAGGACAAGGAAAGAUGCUACAAACCUCAACUGCUUUUGCUGCAAUCCUACUGUGUUCUUGAACGAAUCCUCUUUGGACUACUGAAAGUCCAUAGUUAAUAUGUAAAACUCUGAUAAAGUUGAUUUUGACAUUUCCAGCCCAGGGUUCUCAUUACGUUUAUGGAGAAAGUGGAUUUAUAGAAUUCCUCACUCUGCUGUUCUGGAAAAUUGAAUCUUGCGAUGCAAGGAAAAGGAAAAUGACACCGCCCUGGAACACUGCGGCGAAUGAAAGGAACAGAGGCUCAUGGGGAGCAGUGCGUGGGGACGGAUGUGGAAAGAAGUCGCUGGCAGGUGUAGGAUCUCAGAUGACUCCAAGGGGCAGAUAAGCUGGGUCCUGGAUGACCAGCGAAUGCAACAUGGGAGUUCUGGUGCUAAAGCUUGCUCUGUGAUUUGACAGCGACUUAUGAAGAAGCAACAGUUCCUAGAGGCAUGUAGACUGCACAUGUGGGUGGGACCUUGGGUUUUAUCGGCCAUCCACAUGGAUGAGGUGAAUGGCCUCACCUGUAACUCUGCCUUUCAAAAAAAUAAAUAAAUUAAAAAAAACA